rnacentral:rRNA from 1 species
GAUGAACGCUGGCGGCGUGCUUAACACAUGCAAGUCGAACGAAGCAUUUGCGACAGAUUUCUUCGGAUUGAAGUUGCUUAUGGCUGAGUGGCGGACGGGUGAGUAACGCGUGGGUAACCUGCCUCACACAGGGGGAUAGCAGUUGGAAACGGCUGAUAAUACCGCAUAAGCGCACAGUACCGCAUGGUACAGUGUGAAAAACUCCGGUGGUGUGAGAUGGACCCGCGUCUGAUUAGCUAGUUGGUGAGGUAACGGCUCACCAAGGCGACGAUCAGUAGCCGACCUGAGAGGGUGACCGGCCACAUUGGGACUGAGACACGGCCCAGACUCCUACGGGAGGCAGCAGUGGGGAAUAUUGCACAAUGGAGGAAACUCUGAUGCAGCGACGCCGCGUGAGUGAAGAAGUAAUUCGUUAUGUAAAGCUCUAUCAGCAGGGAAGAUAGUGACGGUACCUGACUAAGAAGCUCCGGCUAAAUACGUGCCAGCAGCCGCCGUAA